CUGUUGGGUAGGGGAGCGUUGUGUAAGCGGAAGAAGGUUCAUCGAGAGGUGGGCUGGACGUAUCACAAGUGCGAAUGCUGACAUAAGUAACGAUAAAACGGGUGAAAAACCCGUUCGCCGGAAGACCAAGGGUUCCUGUCCAACGUUAAUCGGGGCAGGGUGAGUCGGCUCCUAAGGCGAGGCUGAAAAGCGUAGUCGAUGGGAAACAGGUUAAUAUUCCUGUACUUGGUAAAGCUGCGAUGUGGGGACGGAGUAGGUUAGGUUAUCGCACUGUUGGAUAUGUGCGUUUAAGUUGGUAGGUGGGAAGUUUAGGCAAAUCCGGGCUUCCUUAACACAGAGAGAUGAUGACGAGGCUCUACGGAGCUGAAGUAACUAAUACCACACUUCCAGGAAAAGCCACUAAGCGAAAGGCUUUACUAAACCGUACUGAAAACCGACACAGGUGGUCAGGUAGAGAAUACUCAGGCGCUUGAGAGAACUCGGGUGAAGGAACUAGGCAAAAUAGCACCGUAACUUCGGGAGAAGGUGCGCCGGCGUAGAUUGUAAGGGCUAGCCCCUGAAGGUUGAACCGGUCGAAGAUACCAGCUGGCUGCAACUGUUUAUUAAAAACACAGCACUCUGCAAACACGAAAGUGGACGUAUAGGGUGUGAUGCCUGCCCGGUGCUGGAAGGUUAAUUGAUGGUGUAAUCGCAAGAGAAGCACCUGAUCGAAGCCCCAGUAAACGGCGGCCGUAACUAUAACGGUCCUAAGGUAGCGAAAUUCCUUGUCGGGUAAGUUCCGACCUGCACGAAUGGCAUAAUGAUGGCCAGGCUGUCUCCACCCGAGACUCAGUGAAAUUGAAAUCGCCGUGAAGAUGCGGUGUACCCGCGGCUAGACGGAAAGACCCCGUGAACCUUUACUAUAGCUUGACACUGAACAUUGAAUUUUGAUGUGUAGGAUAGGUGGGAGCCUUUGAAGCAGUGACGCCAGUCAUUGUGGAGGCGACCUUGAAAUACCACCCUUUAACGUUUGAUGUUCUAACGAAGAUGACGAAACGUGGUCUCGGACAGUGUCUGGUGGGUAGUUUGACUGGGGCGGUCUCCUCCCAAAGCGUAACGGAGGAGCACGAAGGUUUGCUAAUCACGGUCGGACAUCGUGAGGUUAGUGCAAUGGUAUAAGCAAGCUUAACUGCGAGACAGACAAGUCGAGCAGGUACGAAAGUAGGUCAUAGUGAUCCGGUGGUUCUGAAUGGAAGGGCCAUCGCUCAACGGAUAAAAGGUACUCCGGGGAUAACAGGCUGAUACCGCCCAAGAGUUCAUAUCGACGGCGGUGUUUGGCACCUCGAUGUCGGCUCAUCACAUCCUGGGGCUGAAGUAGGUCCCAAGGGUAUGGCUGUUCGCCAUUUAAAGUGGUACGCGAGCUGGGUUUAGAACGUCGUGAGACAGUUCGGUCCCUAUCUGCCGUGGGCGUAGGAGAAUUGAUUGGGGCUGCUCCUAGUACGAGAGGACCGGAGUGGACGCACCACUGGUGUUCCGGUUGUGUCGCCAGACGCAUUGCCGGGUAGCUAAGUGCGGAAGAGAUAAGUGCUGAAAGCAUCUAAGCACGAAACUUGCCAAGAGAUGAGUUCUCCCAAUC
rnacentral:rRNA from 1 species